rnacentral:rRNA from 1 species
UGCAGUCGAACGGCAGCACAGAGGAGCUUGCUCCUUGGGUGGCGAGUGGCGGACGGGUGAGGAAUACAUCGGAAUCUACUUUUUCGUGGGGGAUAACGUAGGGAAACUUACGCUAAUACCGCAUACGACCUACGGGUGAAAGCAGGGGACCUUCGGGCCUUGCGCGAUUGAAUGAGCCGAUGUCGGAUUAGCUAGUUGGCGGGGUAAAGGCCCACCAAGGCGACUAUCCGUAGCUGGUCUGAGAGGAUGAUCAGCCACACUGGAACUGAGACACGGUCCAGACUCCUACGGGAGGCAGCAGUGGGGAAUAUUGGACAAUGGGCGCAAGCCUGAUCCAGCCAUACCGCGUGGGUGAAGAAGGCCUUCGGGUUGUAAAGCCCUUUUGUUGGGAAAGAAAUCCAGCUGGCUAAUACCCGGUUGGGAUGACGGUACCCAAAGAAUAAGCACCGGCUAACUUCGUGCCAGCAGCCGCGGUAAUACGAAGGGUGCAAGCGUUACUCGGAAUUACUGGGCGUAAAGCGUGCGUAGGUGGUCGUUUAAGUCCGUUGUGAAAGCCCUGGGCUCAACCUGGGAACUGCAGUGGAUACUGGGCGACUAGAGUGUGGUAGAGGGUAGCGGAAUUCCUGGUGUAGCAGUGAAAUGCGUAGAGAUCAGGAGGAACAUCCAUGGCGAAGGCAGCUACCUGGACCAACACUGACACUGAGGCACGAAAGCGUGGGGAGCAAACAGGAUUAAAUACCCUGGUAGUCCACGCCCUAAACGAUGCGAACUGGAUGUUGGGUGCAAUUUGGCACGCAGUAUCGAAGCUAACGCGUUAAUUUCGCCGCCUGGGGAGUACGGUCGCAAGACUGAAACUCAGAGGAAUUGACGGGGGCCCGCACAAGCGGUGGAGUAUGUGGUUUAAUUCGAUGCAACGCGAAGAACCUUACCUGGCCUUGACAUGUCGAGAACUUUCCAGAGAUGGAUUGGUGCCUUCGGGAACUC